rnacentral:lncRNA from 1 species
GCCUUGUUGUCUCUGACUGGAGCCUCUCUCUCCUGUGAGCCUGUGAGCCUGUGAGCCUGUAUUCCUGGUUGUGUCAGAACUCCUGGGGGAUCAAGUUGCAUCUUGGUGUUUGCAGAGUGGGUGAACAGCCAAAGCCCAGAGUCUGCUUCCAGGCACACAUCAAACCAGAAGAUACAUUUAUCUCUGGCUUACUGGCAGUUCUUGAGUUUGCUGUGUCCCGGGGGCAUAUACCCAAAAGAUAUUUCACCAUAUCACAAGGAAACAUGCUCCAGUAUGUUUAUAACAGUCUUAUGAUAGCCAGAAGGUAGAAACAACCAAGUCCCUCAACAGAAGAAUUGAUACAGAAAAAUGUGGUACAUUUACCCAGUGGAGUACUAUUCAGCUAUUAAAAACAACAACUUCAUGAAAUUCACAGGCAAAUGGAAGGAAUUAGAAAAUAUUCUCCUGAGUGAAGUAGCCCAGACACAAAAGAACACAUAUGAAAUGUUCCUGUAUAAAGAAAAGACAGAGAGAAAAAAGUGGACCAGAGACUGAAGGAAAGGCCAUCAAGAGAACACCCCACUCAGGGAUCCAUCCCAUCUGCUGACUCCAAACCCCUACACGAUUGCUGCUGCCAAGAAGCAUUUGCUGUGAGGAACCUGAUAUAGCUGUUCCCUGAGAGUUUCUACCAGCACCUGACCAAUACAGAUACAGAUACUAACAGCCAACCAACAGACUGAGCCAAGGGAACCCAAUGAAAGAGCUAGGGGA